rnacentral:rRNA from 1 species
GUAGUCCAUGCCGUAAACGAUGGGUGCUUGUCGUUGAGGAUGUAAACCUCCUCAGUGACGAAGCUAACGCGUUAAGCACCCCGCCUGGGGAGUACGGUCGCAAGAUUAAAACUCAAAGAAAUUGACGGGGACCCGCACAAGCGGUGGAGUAUGUGGUUCAAUUCGACGCAACGCGAAGAACCUUAUCCUAGGCUUGACAUGCCCUGACAACCGGCGAAAGUCGGCUUUCCCGCAAGGGACAGGGACACAGGUGCUGCAUGGCUGUCGUCAGCUCGUGUCGUGAGAUGUUGGGUUAAGUCCCGUAACGAGCGCAACCCACGCCCUCUGUUGCCAUCAUUAAGUUGGGCACUCUGAGGGGACUGCCGGCGUUAAGCUGGA